ACUUUCAGCGUGGUUUCCUUCUAUUAUUUUCCUUCCCACAGGUUGCUUUCUUUCACCAUCUUCACACCAUUCCAUUUUGGUGAAAAACCAAUUGAUGCUUUGCAAUCCUAUUCUGCAAACUCUGACCAAUACUUUCACAAUUCAAAUUUCAUAAAUCCCUCUAAAAGUCCCUCUAAAAGUUUCAAAAACAAUACUUAUCUUUGUUCCUCUCUUUCUUCCUCUUUGUUUUUUUUUCUUCCUCCAUCUCUCUCAUAAGGAAUGAAGAAGCAGCACACACCAUGAAGGUGGCGGCAGCCUUAAGCUUCAAAGUUCACAAAUUAGGGUUUAAUUGAAUUCACUUCCAUUGCAAUAGUCAGUGAAAGAGGAUUGUCUGCACUUGAGAAAAAUAAAUGAAACAGAGAUCGAUGAAACAGAGCACACGAUCCAGCCAUGACAAUGUUAUUGUUUGAUUUUGGGUUUGAACUAAAAGGCAACAAGAAUGUAUUCGGGGAGUUUCACAAUGGCUUUAUGAACAAUAGAGAAAGAACUGGCGAGGGAUGGUUAAUUUGUUUUCUAUUUCAUUCUGUUUUUCAUUUAUGUAGUUUUUCUUUCUUAUUCAUAGUAGCUUCAUUUUGAUUUCCAUUUUAUGUCUCUUUUUCCACAAAAUUGGGAAUGAUGUAUCAAGAAUUAAGGGUGAUAUUGUUAUACCUAUAAUUACAUGAUAUUAUUAAGUCUUUUAUUUUUUUUUAAUCGCAAUCAGGUUAAAAGAAAUUCUGAUUUUUUUUGUGCAGUCACACAAUAAUGAAGAGGUUUGGUUUCUUUCCCUUUUUUCACAUGUGCAUAGACAUCAACCAUUAACUAGGAACAGUGACUGUUAGUUUGAUUCAAUCUAUUAAGAUAUGCCUUAUUAGUAGGAAAUUUUAGUUAACCAAGGUUUGUUCUACUGCUGUGAAAUUUCUACCAUUUACACGGCUUGCAACGAUAUACUAUGUUUGGUUUUAUUUGUUUGCUAAUGCUACAAUUAGUUACAUACAUAGUCUUUUAUCUGCAAAUUUCGUGCUAUGUAUUAAUUUGUAUGGUAUUCUAUUAUAGUUUAUUUAACUUCAUGUCUUUUGUUUUCUUGGUUUGCAGGCUUUUCCUUAUCUCCGAAUCAAAUAAUUACAAUGGUUUUGGGGACAAUGCUGCAGAGCAAAUUAGUAGCUGGACAAAAAUCAUACUUCUUUGGGCAAAUUUUUGAAUUUGUUUUCCCUCCUCUCAAUCACUUUAGAUUUCAUAUUCUAAUUUUGAUUUUUUUUUUCUUGCAAUAUUUCAUUGUUUGUUCAGGUUGACAAGUUAGGGGUUGAACACUCUCUAAAUUUCAAGUAUCUUGCAACAAUCUCGAUGACUCAAGUAUUCAAACUACAUGAAAACAACAAAACAGAAUGUCAUUGAUACAAAUGUUGUAACUACAUUUCCUGCUACAAUAUUUUGUAUAUAUUAUUUUUUGUUCAAUUUGAAAUGGUAGAACAUUUUAGGCAGAAAACUAAUAUUUGACUUUUUAAUGUGAAGCUUUAAUUUU